AGAGUUUGAUCCUGGCUCAGGAUGAACGCUGGCGGCGUGCCUAAUACAUGCAAGUCGAACGCGAAAGGUCUGAAGCCUUCGGGCGGAGGGCCGAGUAGAGUGGCGAACGGGUGAGGAACACGUAGGUGACCUGCCCCGGAGAGGGGGAUAACCGUCGGAAACGGCGGCUAAUACCCCAUAAGCUCACGCGAGUUAGAGGGCGUGUGAGAAAAGCUCCGGCGCUCCGGGAGGGGCCUGCGGCCCAUCAGCUAGUUGGUAGGGUAAAGGCCUACCAAGGCGAAGACGGGUAGGGGGCCUGAGAGGGUGGUCCCCCACAUGGGAACUGAGACACGGUCCCAACUCCUACGGGAGGCAGCAGUAAGGAAUAUUGCACAAUGGGCGCAAGCCUGAUGCAGCAACGCCGCGUGCCCGAGGACGGCCUUCGGGUUGUAAAGGGCUUUUCUGGCUGACGAGGAAGGACGGUAGGCCAGGAAUAAGCGUCGGCUAACUACGUGCCAGCAGCCGCGGUAAAACGUAGGACGCGAGCGUUAUCCGGAUUUACUGGGCGUAAAGCGCGGGCAGGCGGUGGUCCAAGUCGGACGUGAAAGCUCCCGGCUCAACUGGGAGAGGUCGUUCGAAACUGGGCCGCUAGAGGGCAGUAGAGGGGCGUGGAAUUCCGGGUGGAGUGGUGAAAUGCGUAGAGAUCCGGAGGAACACCAGAGGCGAAGGCGGCGCCCUGGGCUGCACCUGACGCUGAGCCGCGAAAGCUAGGGGAGCGAACGGGAUUAGAAACCCCGGUAGUCCUAGCCGUAAACGAUGUCCACUAGAUGUCUGGGCGGAGCGCCUGGGCGUCGCAGCUAACGCGUUAAGUGGACCGCCUGGGGAGUACGGCCGCAAGGCUAAAACUCAAAGGAAUUGACGGGGGCCCG
rnacentral:rRNA from 1 species